ACCUCCCGCCCCGCCUUCCACCCCGUGCCUUCGCACCGCCGCCCCGCCUCCAGUCCCGCGCCGCCGCCCCAACUCCUACCCCAUGCCUUUGCACUGCCGCCCCGCCUCCCGUCUCGCACCGCCGCCCCGCCUCCCACCCCAUGCCUUCGCCACUGCCGCCCCACCUCCCACCCCGCGCCGUCGCCCUGCCUCCCUUCCUCGCCGUCGCACCGUCUCCCCGCGUCGGCUACCUUCCCCGCUGCCCCACCACAUCCCACCGGCCGCCCAGAAUCGCCACGCUGCUGGCCGCCCCACGCCGUUGCGGAUCCAACCAGGCCCGAGGGAGGAGAUUAGCCGGCUCUCUUCCUCCUCUCCGGCGAGGCCUGGGCGUCCCCUCCUACGGCGCGGACCAGCCACCCCGGAUUCCAACCCUCGCCGCCACCACCUCCACUCUACACCGCGGGUGGAUCCAGGCUGCCACUGCCGGUGCCGCGCCCCUGGGUUCCCCACCGCGGGUGGAUCCGGGCCGCCACUGCCGGCGCCGUGCCCCUGUCUGAACUGCACAGCACGCAGUGCAGGCGACUGUGGCAUGCAGUGCAGCUCGCCCCGGCAUGCAGCUCGGCCCCCGCCCUAGCGUGCAGGCACCCUCACGUGCAACAUCGAUGGGCUGGAGGUCCGACAUCUUCCUGGCCUCCCCUCUCCCCUGGCCAUAUCCACCCGUUCUCGAGGCGUGACUCCGACGCCGACGAGCUGCAUCGCCCAUUCCCUGCUCACUGAUUUGGUUGCCUGUGGCUGUGUGUCAUGCAUCCCCGUGCCUCGAAUGACAAGAUGUGUGGCACCUGCGGGCGUCCAGUACGACCAACGUCGGCGUGCAGUGCGGCCAACGACAACAUGCAGUAGGGCAUACGACGACGUGUAGUUCGGUGACCCUCCCAUGCGCCACAACAACCUCGAGUAGCAGCGCGGCUGGGAGUGGGCUGCGUCACUUGCAGUUUGGCGCACCUGGACGAGCAGCUAGCUUAUUUGUGUUCUCGGGCAAUCUACGUCUCGGUGCAAUUAAGUUUCAGGUUGGCAACCCCAAUUCGUUUUGCCAGGCCAUUUGCAGUUCGUCGGCGGGCAGAGUUGUAGUGCCUGUGUGCCAUGUAGUAACCCCACGAGGGUUAUAUUGUAAUUUUUUGUCAGAGUUUGUUUCUGCAAAAUUGCGGUGAUCAUCUGCAGACGAGUUCAUCUAGGAGCAGUCAUAUGAACUCCCGUAGAGGUUCAUCUAGGAGAUGUACUUAUUAUAGUUUGUUUGAAAUUAUCAAGGACAAAAAAAAGAA